GAGUUUGAUCUUGGCUCAGAUUGAACGCUGGCGGCAUGCCUUACACAUGCAAGUCGAACGGCAGCACGGGAGCUUGCUCCUGGUGGCGAGUGGCGAACGGGUGAGUAAUGCAUCGGAACGUAUCCUGGAGUGGGGGAUAACGUAGCGAAGUUACGCUAAUACCGCAUAUUCUGUGAGCAGGAAAGCGGGGGUACCUUCGGGCCUCGCGCUCUUGGAGCGGCCGAUGUCGGAUUAGCUAGUUGGUGAGGUAAAGGCGUCACCAAGGCGACGAUCCGUAGCAGGUCUGAGAGGAUGAUCUGCCACACUGGAACUGAGACACGGUCCAGACUCCUACGGGA
rnacentral:rRNA from 1 species